rnacentral:misc_RNA from 1 species
UUUCCGUAGGUGAACCUGCGGAAGGAUCAUUAACGAGUUAGGGUCUUUUAGGCCCGACCUCCCAACCCUAUGAUUAUUGAACCUCUGUUGCUUCGGCGGACCCGCCUCACGGCCGCCGGGGGACCGCUGCGAGGCGUCCUCUGGCCAGCGUCCGCCGAUGGCCAACCCACUAAACUCUGAAUGAAUCGUGUCAUAUGUCUUAGUCUAUGAUUAAAUUAAAGCAAAACUUUCAACAACGGAUCUCUUGGUUCUG